rnacentral:rRNA from 1 species
UACGUAGGGGGCAAGCGUUAUCCGGACUUACUGGGUGUAAAGGGAGCGUAGACGGAAUUGCAAGUCUGAUGUGAAAAUCCGGGGCCCAACCCCGGAACUGCAUUGGAAACUGUAUUUCUAGAGUGUCGGAGAGGCAAGUGGAAUUCCUGGUGUAGCGGUGAAAUGCGUAGAUAUCAGGAGGAACACCAGUGGCGAAGGCGGCUUGCUGGACGAUGACUGACGUUGAGGCUCGAAAGCGUGGGGAGCAAACAGG